rnacentral:snoRNA from 1 species
GUCCUUUUCAGUUCAUAAGCAUAAUGACUGAGUGUUCACACUGCUGUGUGAGAGGUUUCUCCCUCUAAUCCUUAUUACAGCUUUGGCAUAUGACCUGUCUGAUA